UCUAACGAGCCGCAAGGAAAUGGAAGUACUAGGAGCCACUGAAGAUGCAAGUACCUCCCAGCUCCUUCACAGCUGAGGUGCCGUUAUCAUGAGAAAACCUGGCUGUGAAGACGUUGGUCAGAUGAACGGCUGUGCCUGGGAGUCACAAGUCACAAAACUACUCGCCUGGGGAGAGCAGACACAGUACUAGGGCCUCGGAGAAUGGGAGUAAAGAAACGGGAAAAAAAAAUAAGUAAAAUGACAUUUCCAAAAUUAUGCAGCUGGUAUGUUACAAG